AUUGAACGCGGCGGCAGGCCUAACACUGCAAGUCGAGCGGAAACGAGUUAUCUGAACUUCGGGGAACGAAAAGGCGUCGAGCGGCGGACGGGUGAGUAAGCCUAGGAAAUUGCCCUGAUGUGGGGGAUAACCAUUGGAAACGAUGGCUAAUACCGCAUGAUGCCUACGGGCCAAAGAGGGGGACCUUCGGGCCUCUCGCGUCAGGAUAUGCCUAGGUGGGAUUAGCUAGUUGGUGAGGUAAGGGCUCACCAAGGCGACGAUCCCUAGCUGGUCUGAGAGGAUGAUCAGCCACACUGGAACUGAGACACGGUCCAGACUCCUACGGGAGGCAGCAGUGGGGAAUAUUGCACAAUGGGCGCAAGCCUGAUGCAGCCAUGCCGCGUGUAUGAAGAAGGCCUUCGGGUUGUAAAGUACUUUCAGUCGUGAGGAAGGUAGUGUAGUUAAUAGCUGCAUUAUUUGACGUUAGCGACAGAAGAAGCACCGGCUAACUCCGUGCCAGCAGCCGCGGUAAUACGGAGGGUGCGAGCGUUAAUCGGAAUUACUGGGCGUAAAGCGCAUGCAGGUGGUUUGUUAAGUCAGAUGUGAAAGCCCGGGGCUCAACCUCGGAAUAGCAUUUGAAACUGGCAGACUAGAGUACUGUAGAGGGGGGUAGAAUUUCAGGUGUAGCGGUGAAAUGCGUAGAGAUCUGAAGGAAUACCGGUGGCGAAGGCGGCCCCCUGGACAGAUACUGACACUCAGAUGCGAAAGCGUGGGGAGCAAACAGG
rnacentral:rRNA from 1 species